CUCGCCCCCCGGCCUGUCCUGUCCCUCCGGAGGGAGUGAGGUUAUCUUUUCUGUUAUCUGGGCCUCAAGACAAGCUGCCGAAAGUCAGAAAUAGAAGGCAAAAAUGAGAAUAAAACGAAAAACACACCUCAGGGGAGGAGACCGACAACCUGGAGGGGCAGGAGCAGUGCCUGGGAAUGCAUCCAGGGCCGUGCCACCACAAACCACCUCUGGGUGGGUCAACGUACUCUGGGCAGAGGCCACAAAGGGCCCGUGCUUAGGGUUAAUGGGGAAAGUACCAGCGUAGGAAAUCACGGAGUCCGCGUGGUAACUGUUGGAGUUUAUCUACCCCGAAAAGCAGUUUUGGCACGAUCCCCUUUUUGUGUGAUUUGUGCACCACCUUCCCCGUCGUGAGAUCACAAAACUUCUGCUAAAAGUCUUGGGGUACUCUUCUGCCAGCGGCAAAACCAAACGCAUUCACGUGGAGAUUCUGAGAGAAGACUGAAAAACUCUUUGCCGGCAACUCGACAGGCAUGGACAGGCGUGGGCGAGUGGCCAAUCCUCAUCUCAGGUAACCCGCACGGCUGCCCAAGGAGAUCGACACUUCGGUUUCCAUCUCACCGCGGCGGAAAUACAACUAGUAACCGCGUGUGCCAGGAUCUGAACCCAAGGGGGCCUGUUUCCAAAGUCCAUGUGCCAUGCUGAAGACAGUCUUGGCCGAUCAGGUCAGAUCAAGGAGGGAACAUGCCAAAUGGGGGAGAAAAGACUGCAAUAAACUCACGGUGUUUGUUUGUAUGCCACACUCAAACAAUUUAGUCAGGGGAAGAAAAAGAAAAGCGCUCUCUUCCCUGGCCAAUGGCACAUUUCUCUGUAAGUAAACACGCUAUCUGUUUAUGUCCCAGAGACCCUGAGCAGCUGAUGCCCAAGCAGGGCAGUACACAGCUUUGCAAAAAAAGCACCCGCAGCCCCCAGAUCCCAUUUUCAUCCUCAGGUCAUAUAUGUCUUCCCCACAACCAACUGACAAACAAAUUAACAGACUAAAAAAAAUCCUAAAUCUGGAGACGGCGAGCUACUGAUAAUUUCUACCCUUAGAUGGCUUACCACGUAGAAGCUACAAACAGAGCUGCAGGAGUGAGUCCCCGGGGAGGCCAUCACCCUGAAAGGAAAGUGGCAGCCCGCUCAGGAUUUCCCUUCUCUGCACCAGGAGGUGAAGCAGCCCAAAGCGGCCUCGCUUCCACACUGAGGGAGGAGCCGGGCCUCUUCCCACUGAGCGAGGUUUGUUCUAGGGCCUACAGGAAGCUUUGGGAGGCUGGGGGCUCUCUAAUUUCCUGAACACUCUUGGACUCGUCUGGUGCUCUCAAAACCAGGCCAGCGGGGGAAAUGAACCGAGCUGCUCAGCCUCACCCCUCCUUGGCACUUACUCGGUUCUGAAAGGGCUCAGGAUGCUGACUGGCCGGCUCUAAAAAUCCUACGGCCUUCCCCCCGCCCCAAGCUGCUUUCCAUCCAUUACCAAGGCCCGGCCAAUUCGAGCCACGUGAUUGACUGGCAUCUGACCCAACCUGGGCCAAGGAGAGUCUGCCCCAGGAUUCACGCUACAGCCACUGGAAAGGAUAUUCUCUUUUUGCUGGCUUGCCAAAUGGGUAGGACGUAAACCUGGAGCCUUUGGUGGCUCUGGCCACCACGUGAGAAGCACCUACCCGAGGACGAGCCAAAACGGAGGAAAAAGCGGCUGAGACAUGGAGAGGGACGAAUCUCCGACAACACCAUCUGGGGACGUGGUUUCAUUAAAACCAGAUCCUUCCCGGGAUUCUGAGUUACAUAAGAGAAUAAAUUACCUGUUUUUCUGGGUU